rnacentral:rRNA from 1 species
ACGCUCGACACCUACAGGAGGCAGCAGUGGGGAAUAUUGCACAAUGGGGGAAACCCUGAUGCAGCGACGCCGCGUGAAGGAAGAAGUAUUUCGGUAUGUAAACUUCUAUCAGCAGGGAAGAAACUGACGGUACCUGACUAAGAAGCACCGGCUAAAUACGUGUCAGCAGCCGCGGUAAUCUGAGCGGGCUGGCAAGGC